ACGGGAGGCAGCAGUGGGGAAUAUUGCACAAUGGGCGAAAGCCUGAUGCAGCGACGCCGCGUGAGGGAUGACGGCCUUCGGGUUGUAAACCUCUUUCAGCAGGGAAGAAGCCACAAGUGACGGUACCUGCAGAAGAAGCGCCGGCUAACUACGUGCCAGCAGCCGCGGUAAUACGUAGGGCGCAAGCGUUGUCCGGAAUUAUUGGGCGUAAAGAGCUCGUAGGCGGUUUGUCGCGUCUGCUGUGAAAGCCCGGGGCUUAACCCCGGGUGUGCAGUGGGUACGGGCAGACUAGAGUGCAGUAGGGGAGACUGGAAUUCCUGGUGUAGCGGUGGAAUGCGCAGAUAUCAGGAGGAACACCGAUGGCGAAGGCAGGUCUCUGGGCUGUUACUGACGCUGAGGAGCGAAAGCAUGGGGAGCGAACAGGAUUAGAUACCCUGGUAGUCCAUGCCGUAAACGUUGGGCACUAGGUGUGGGGGACAUUCCACGUUUUCCGCGCCGUAGCUAACGCAUUAAGUGCCCCGCCUGGGGAGUACGGCCGCAAGGCUAAAACUCAAAGGAAUUGACGGGGGCCCGCACAAGCGGCGGAGCAUGCGGAUUAAUUCGAUGCAACGCGAAGAACCUUACCAAGGCUUGACAUAUACCGGAUCGUUCCAGAGAUGGUUCUUCCCCUUUGGGGUCGGUAUACAGGUGGUGCAUGGUUGUCGUCAGCUCGUGUCGUGAGAUGUUGGGUUAAGUCCCGCAACGAGCGCAACCCUCGUUCCAUGUUGCCAGCACGUGAUGGUGGGGACUCAUGGGAGACUGCCGGGGUCAACUCGGAGGAAGGUGGGGAUGACGUCAAAUCAUCAUGCCCCUUAUGUCUUGGGCUUCACGCAUGCUACAAUGGCCGGUACAAAGGGUUGCGAUACUGUGAGGUGGAGCUAAUCCCAAAAAGCCGGUCUCAGUUCGGAUUGAGGUCUGCAACUCGACCUCAUGAAGUCGGAGUCGCUAGUAAUCGCAGAUCAGCAACGCUGCGGUGAAUACGUUCCCGGGCCUUGUACACACCGCCCGUCAAGUCACGAAAGUCGGUAACACCCGAAGCCGGUGGCCCAACCCUUGUGGA
rnacentral:rRNA from 1 species